rnacentral:lncRNA from 1 species
AUGCAACACCCCAUGCAACCCUUGUGCAAAUCCUUGUGCAAACCCUGCGAUCACUGUGCAAACCCUUGUGCAAAUCCUUGUGCAAACCCUGCAAUCACCGUGCAAACCCUUGUGCAAAUCCUUGUGCAAACCCUUGUGCAAAUCCUUGUGCAAACCCAGCAUGACCCCUGUGCAAAUCCAUGUGCAAACCCCAGUGCAACCUGCAGUGUGAAUUUGCAUGCAACACCCCAUGUCGUCCUUGUGCAAAUCCUUGUGCAAACCCUGCAAUCACCGUGCAAACCCUUGUGCAAAUCCUUGUGCAAACCCUGCAAUCACCGUGCAAACCCUUGUGCAAAUCCUUGUGCAAACCCUGCAAUCACCGUGCAAACCCUUGUGCAAAUCCUUGUGCAAAACGAGCACGAUCCAUGUGCGAAACCUAGUGCAAAAGUCCUGUAUAAACCCCAGAACCCCGUGCAAAUGCUUGUGCAAAUCCCCUUGCACGCUGCAGCCUUCCCUGUGCAAAUCCUCGUGCAAACCCACGUGCAAACCCCCACAGCCUCCCGUGCAAAUCCUUGUGCAAAACAUGCAACUCCCGUGCAAAUCCUCAUGCAAAACUCUUGUGCAAAUCCUCGUGCAAAUCCAUGUGCAACCACCCACAGUGCACAGUGUUGUUGUACUGGUCCCAUCCCGGUCCCAUCCCGUUACGCUGUUUGCGUAACUUCUCUCCGCCCCCCCCCCCCCCCCCCCUACGCCGUUUGCGUAUCUCCUUCCCGUCCCUCCGCUCACCCUUACGCUUUUUGCGUACCCCCUCCAUCCCGUUACGCCGUUUGCGUUGCUCCGUUUCCCUAUCCCCUCCAUUCAUCCCCUUACGCCAUUUGCGUAUCCCCCCCAAUCCCCAACUCCUUACGCCAUUUGCGUAUCCCCCCCAAUCCCCAACUCCUUACGCCAUUUGCGUAUCCCCCCACCCUCUUACGCCAUUUGCGUAUCCCCCCCACCCCCAUCUCCUUACGCCAUUUGCGUAUCCCCCCAUUCCCAUCCCGUUACGCCAUUUGCGUACCCCCCUAUUCCCGUCCCAUUACGCCAUUUGCGUAUCUCCCCUAUUCCCAUCCCGUUACGCCAUUUCCGUACCCCCCUAUUCCCAUCCCGUUACGCCAUUUGCGUAUCUCUCCCCCCCAUCCAUAUCCCGUUACGCCAUUUGCGUAUCUCUCCCCCCCAUCCCGCUAUCCCCGUUACGCCAUUUCCGUACCCCAUCCCCUUACACCUCGUUACGCCAUUUCCGUACCCCCCAUCCCAAUCCCCAUCCCGCUACGCCAUUUCCGUACCCCCCCAUCCCCAUCCCGUUCCAUCCCGUUACGCAAUUUGCGUAUCUCUCCCCCCCAUCCCGCUAUCCCCGUUACGCCAUUUCCGUACCCCCACUAUUCCCGUCCCGUUACGCCAUUUCCGUACCCCAUCCCGCUGUCCCCGUUACGCCGUUUCCGUAGCGCCGUUCUAUCCGGUGGGGGGGUUGUUAUAGGGGGGGGGGGGAUGUUGCAGAGCCCCCGGCAGCGCCAUGGCCCGUCGGGCCGCUGCCCCCCCCUCGGUGCCCCCCCCCCCGUUAUCGGCCAGUUGGCCCGCGCUGGGGCCCAGGAGGAGGAGCGUAUGGUACAUAUACAGGUACUGAAUGGGGGGGGGGAUAGGGGGGAUA